ensembl:lncRNA
GGUGUAACCAGUGUUAUCAGAUACAACCUGAAUCAUGUGGCAUGGGAUGUAUUAAUUUGUGCAAAUCUUCAGUGGUGUAACCAGUGUAAAAGAUACAACCUGAUCAUGGUGGCAUGGGGUAUAUUCAUUUGUGCAACUCAUUUCAGUGGUGUCCAGUGUCAGAUACAACUGAAUCAUGUGGCAUGGGUAUAUUCAUUAGUGCAAACUCAUUCAGUGGUGUAACCAGUGUUACAGAUCAACCUGAAUCAUGUGGCAUGGGGUAUAUUCAUUAUGCCACUCAUUCUAUUUGACAUAUUCAGGUGGAUACAACCCCGGUUUUGCCCUGUUUGCUUCAGUUAUUUCCAGUGAAUACACUCCGUACCAUUAAUCAGAUCAAGUCCAGUCAGCUAUUACACCUGUAUCACCUUGACAACGUGUCUGGAAACAACCCAGGUAACCAGUAACCACUAAGGAAGUCCAGCGGACUUGCUGCCUACUAAACCCACCUAAUAAAUACGUGAAGAGAAAACACAUGAAACAUACCAAACAAUGUCCACUGCUGGUGUGACCAACCCCCCCCCCCCCUUCUAAAAUGUAACAACAAUGAUGUUACAACCAUAAAUAAACUGUAGCAAGCCGUGUUUAUAAUCAUGGGCAUAUCGUCUUACAACUUCGAGCAUUCUUUGUGAACACGCUGAUGCCACGCAGGGCCAACAGCCAGAAGGUUGAGGGUUUGCUGUCCACCAUGUACGAGACUCUCCCUGCCUGUCCACCAUUAGAGACUCUCCCUGCCUGUCCACCAUGUACGAGACUCCCCUGCCUGUCCACCAGUACGAGACCUCCCUGCCUGUCCACCAUGUAAGAGACUCUCCCUGGCUGUGCCACCAUGUCGAGACUCUCCCGGCCUGUCCACCAUGGACGAGACUCCCCUGCCCUGUCCUCCACCUGGACGAGACUCUCCUGCUCGGGCCACCAUGUACGAGACUCCCCUGCCGUCCCACCAUGUACGAGACUCUCCGCCUGUCCACCAUGUACGAGACUCUCCCGGCCUGUCCACCAUGGACGAGACUCUCCCUGCCUGUCCACCAUGGACGAGACUCUCCCCUGCCUGUCCACCAUGGACGAGACUCUCCCUGCCUGACUCUCCCUGUCUGUCCACCAUGGAGAGACUCUCCUGACUGGACUCUCCUGCGACUCUCCCUGCCUGUCCACCAUGGACGAGACUCUCCCUGCCUGAUCCUUAUUAACUGUGGAGAGUAGACGCACACGACCCUUGUCACUGUCCAGAGUAGACCCACUACUGAUUCCUUAUCAACUGUCCAGAGUAGACCCCACUACUGAUCCUUAUCAACUGUCCAGAGUAGACCCACUACUGAUCCUUAUACACUGUCCAGAAGUAGACCCAUACUGAUCCUCAUUACUGUCCAGAGUAGACCCACUACGACCUUAUUAACUGGAGAGAGUUGACCACCACUGAUCCCUAUCAACUGUCCAGAGUAGACCCACUCCUGAUCCUAUAAACUGCCCAGAGUAGACCACUACUGAUCCUUAUCAACUGUAAAGACUAGACCCACUACUGUUCCUUAUCAAACUGUCCAGAGUAGACCACUAAUGAUCCUUAUCAACUGUCCAGAGUAGACCACUAACUGAUCCUUAUACACUGUCCAGAGUAGACCCACUACUGAUCCUUAUACACUGUCCAGAGUAGACCCACUUACACGCUGCCUAUCAGCUGACCUCUCCCGCUGACCUCUCCGCUGCCUAUCGGCUGACCUCUCCGCUGCCUAUCGGCUGACCUCUCCGCUGCCUAUCGGCUGACCUCUCCGCUGCCUAUCGGCUGACCUCUCCGCUGCCUAUCAGCUGACCUCUCCGCUGCCUAUCAGCUGACCUCUCCACUGCUAGGUAUAGAUAGAGGGCAGGAUAGACAGACUGGUAGACUAUAUUGUUACUAUGAAUGGUGGAUAGAGGCCAGGAUAGACAGACUGGUAGUCUAUAUUGUCACGAUGAAUGGUGGAUAGACAGACUGGUAGUCUAUAUUGUCACGAUGAAUGGUGGAUAGACAGACUGGUAGACUAUAUUGUUACUAUGAAUGGUGGAAACAGACUGGUAGUCUAUAUUGUCACUAUGAAUGGUGGAUAGACAGACUGGUAGUCUAUAUUGUUACUAUGAAUGGUGGAUAGACAGACUGGUAGUCUAUAUUGUUACUAUGAAUAGUGGAUAGACAGACUGGUAGUCUAUAUUGUUACUAUGAAUAGUGGAUAGACAGACUGGUAGUCUAUAUUGUUACUAUGAAUAGUGGAUAGAGGCCAGGAUAGACAGACUGGUAGAUGUCAUUGUCACUAUGUUGAAUAACCUGUCCUCUCUGCUACCUACAUUCACUUUGUUGAUUAACCUGUCCUCUCUCCUACCUACAUUCACUAUGUUGAUUAACCUGUCCUCUCUGCUACCUACAUUCACUAUGUUGAUUAACCUGUCCUCUCUGCUACCUACAUUCACUAUGUAGCAGAGAGGACAGGGUUUAAUCAACAUAGUGAAUGUAGGUAGCAGAGAGGACAGGGGUUAAUCAACAUAGUGAAUGUGGUAGCAGAGAGGACAGUUAAUCAACAUAGUGAAUGU